UCAAAUCAUCAUGCCCCUUAUGACCUGGGCUACAAACGUGAUACAAUGGCUGGAACAAAGGGAGGCGAAGGGGUGACCUGGAGCGAAACCCAAAAAUACAGUCUCAGUUCGGAUUGAAGUCUGCAACUCGACCUCAUGAAGUCGGAAUCGCUAGUAAUCGCGGAUCAGAACGCCGCGGUGAAUACGUUCUCGGGGUUU
rnacentral:rRNA from 1 species